UACGGGAGGCAGCAGUGGGGAAUAUUGCACAAUGGGCGCAAGCCUGAUGCAGCCAUGCCGCAUGUAUGAAGAAGGCCUUCGGGUUGUAAAGUACUUUCAGUCGUGAGGAAGGUGUUAAGGUUAAUAACCUUAGCAAUUGACGUUAGCGACAGAAGAAGCACCGGCUAACUCCGUGCCAGCAGCCGCGGUAAUACGGAGGGUGCGAGCGUUAAUCGGAAUUACUGGGCGUAAAGGGCACGCAGGCGGUUAAUAAGUUGGAUGUGAAUCCCCGGGCUUAACCUGGGAAUGGCAUUCAAGACUGGUUAGCUAGAGUCUUGUAGAGGGGGUAGAAUUCCGAUGUGUAGCGGUGAAAUGCGUAGAGAUGUGGAGGAAUACCGGUGGCGAAGGCGGCCCCUGGGACAAAGACUGACGCUCAUGUGCGAAAGCGUGGGGAGCAAACAGGGAUUAGGAUACC
rnacentral:rRNA from 1 species